rnacentral:rRNA from 1 species
CACGUAGGGCGCAAGCGUUGUCCGGAAUUAUUGGGCGUAAAGAGCUCGUAGGUGGUUUGUUACGUCUGCUGUGAAAACCUAGGGCUUAACCCUGGGCUUGCAGUGGAUACGGGCAGACUAGAGGUAGGUAGGGGAGAAUGGAAUUCCUGGUGUAGCGGUGAAAUGCGUAGAGAUCAGGAAGAACAUCAGUGGCGAAGGCGGUCUGCUGGGCCGUUGCUGACGCUGAGGAGCGAAAGCGUGGGGAGCGAACAGG